UCUAAGCACAUGCCUUAAUACGGUGAAGCCGCGAAUAGCUCAUUACAACAGCCAUCGUUUAUUAGAAUAUCGUUAUCCUACUUGGAUAACUGUGGCCAUUCUAGAGCUAAUACAUGCAAUAAAGCUCCGCCCGCAAGGAACGAGCGCAUUUAUUAGAAUAAAAACCAAUCGAGCUUCGGUUCGUAAUUUGGUGAAUCUGAAUAACUUUGCCAAUCGCACAGUCCUAGUACUGGCGAUGUAUCUUUCAAGUGUCUGCCUUAUCAACUUUCGAUGGUACGCUAUACGCCUACCAUGGUAGUAACGGGUAACGGAGAAUAAGGGUUCGACUCCGGAGAGGGAGCCUGAGAAACGGCUACCACAUCCAAGGAAGGCAGCAGGCGCGCAAAUUACCCACUUCCAGAACGGAGAGGUAGUGACGAAAAAUUACGAGACAGUCCUCUUCGAGG
rnacentral:rRNA from 1 species